UAUAGAAUCAGCUAAUUUAAGCUGUUGGGCUCAUAUUCCAAAAAUGAGGUGUCUCUUCUAUAA
rnacentral:tRNA from 1 species